rnacentral:lncRNA from 1 species
GAAAUGGACUGUUCCUGCUCCCCAGAAAACAUACUCAUCAAGGUUAAGUUAACUCACUGUGGAGUUAAAAAUGGAUACUUCCCUAAGGUCAGGAAGUGAGAACUGGAAGGUUGUACAGUUUAAGUUGCUGACUCUGAGUGCACACACAUGCACACGCACACGAACCCAAACUCACGCACGCAGGAAUCCCGAGCUAUGCUAUGUGGGGCUGGCGCCAUGAUUCUUUUUAAAACCUGGUCUCUUCCGGGCUUCUCUUCUUCCCUCUUUCUCUUUAUAUUCUUCUCAUAUUUUCCUUUUUCUGUUUUGUCCUUUUCUCGUGUUUACCUCUUGGUGUCUACAUUUAUUCAUUUGAAAGUCUAAAAAAAGGUAAGAAGAAAACUAGUUUGUAACCUUGAAGUUCUUCUUUAUGCUGGAACCAUCUGCCCCUCUUCAGAAAUAGCCAUGAAACUUGGUCCAUGUGAAACAUGGAAAGACUGGGAAAGGUCUAUUUCUACUUAACCUGUUGAUGGCGACUCUGCAGGUCACCACGUCAAUGAACCGCUGAAAGCAGAAGAAAGGGUCAGCAGCGAGGUAUGGAACUACUGCUGUCCACCUUGAGAGAAUUUCUGGCAUAUUCCAUGGCCAUCGCCUCCAUCAGGGCACAUGAGACUUGACUCUCCAUCUCCCUCAAGCCUGCUCUGGGCUGAAAUGUCUUCCCCCCACUCAACUUCCACUGCCAAGCUCUCCGAGUGUGCUCCAGCCCGCCCUGGUGUGCUGGGGAAUUCUGAGCACAGAGAAAGAUUUCCAGCCUUGGAAAAGUUUGCAAAUCUUACAUCAGAGUGUUUGAUGGGGACUGCAAUGCAGCAGAAUGACAGACCCACACGCGUUUUUGUUUUUUUUCUUCAGAACAAGUUUGACGUAAGAUGUACUUAAAUAAAUUGGUGGAUUUAUUUGGAGAAAAAAUUCCACAUACCAAUUUUAAAAAACCAUAGAUCUGAACAUGGAAUGUAGGAAGAAAGGAAAAGUGGAAGAGGUACUUUAGGAUACUUUGGAUUCCAGUAACUCAUAUUUUGUACAUAAAAGAGAAUUGAUUUUUAAUUGUUUUCUUCUAUCAUUAUUAUUAUUCUUUUAUUAUUCUCAAACAUUGAUGACAAAGAGGCAAAUUUGGU